CCUUGGCCUUGACAUACUAAGAACUUUCCAGAGAUGGAUUGGUGCCUUCGGGAACUUAGAUACAGGUGCUGCAUGGCUGUCGUCAGCUCGUGUCGUGAGAUGUUGGGUUAAGUCCGCAACGAGCGCAACCCUUUUCCUUAUUUGCCAGCGGGUAAUGCCGGGAACUUUAAGGAUACUGCCAGUGACAAACUGGAGGAAGGCGGGGACGACGUCAAGUCAUCAUGGCCCUUACGGCCAGGGCUACACACGUGCUACAAUGGUCGGUACAAAGGGUUGCUACCUCGCGAGAGGAUGCUAAUCUCAAAAAGCCGAUCGUAGUCCGGAUCGCAGUCUGCAACUCGACUGCGUGAAGUCGGAAUCGCUAGUAAUCGCGGAUCAGAAUGCCGCGGUGAAUACGUUCCCGGGCCUUGUACACACCGCCCGUCACACCAUGGGAGUUUGUUGCACCAGAAGUAGGUAGUCUAACCGCAAGGAGGACGCUUACCACGGUGUGGCCGAUGACUGGGGUGAAGUCGUAACAAGGUAAGCGUAGAUGA
rnacentral:rRNA from 1 species